rnacentral:rRNA from 1 species
UACGUAGGGGGCAAGCGUUGUCCGGAUUUAUUGGGCGUAAAGCGCUCGCAGGUGGUUCGAUGCGUCGUGCGUGAAAGACCCCGGCUCAACUGGGGAGGGUCGUGCGAUACGGUCGAACUGGAGGCCAGUAGGGGGAUGCGGAAUUCCGGGUGUAGUGGUGGAAUGCGUAGAGAUCCGGAGGAACACCAGCGGCGAAGGCGGCGUCCUGGACUGGUCCUGACGCUGAGGCGCGAAAGCGUGGGGAGCGAACAGG